AUCCUGGUUUGAUUGGAACGACGAAGAAGCUGUGCUAUUCCCAAACUAGGAACCUGGAAUCGCCUGAUUGUUGACAUGAAGCAAUAAAGAGAGGAGAAUGAAGUAAGAAGCAAGAGGGGAACAAUUACAUCCGGAUCAAGUAAUCACUCAACUUACCUUGCUAGACAAGUCUGUCCGUACAAGACAACCCUAACUUGGAGUGCAAGACAUAAGAGUGACUGAUGUAGAAGAGAAGAAGGCAAGAAGAAUGUUUGGAAUCGUCUAAGGGAAGUGGGGAACCGUUGAGAGUGCAGGUCACGGGUCUGGUUAAGGAUUCAAAGUCUUCCCACCCGUUAGGACCUGUCACUAUCCAGGACCACUUUGCCCAUCUCUCCUCUGUCUUAACUUCUUUGUUUAUUGUUUCCUUAAUGUCGACAUCUUGCUGUAUGAAUUCUAUAAAUGGGUUGUUCCCAUAAACAAAUCAUUCAAGGGAAAAGAGUUCUCUAUUAUUCUCUUUGUCAAUCUCUCUCUCUCUCUCACGGUUCAACCUAGUUCUUCUCUAAUCUCUUCACAAAUCUUCCUUAAACUCUCACAUAAAUCCUAUAAAACUUUCAUGGUAUCAGAGCAGCUGUGCUCUUGAGACCUAAAUCUCUUUUUCUUCCGCGAACUCUCUGUGUUUUAUUUCUAUUUUUGGCAAAGUUCAUCCUGUUCUUGAGGUGUUCUUCAAUCUCAUUUCCAGAAUUUGCCAAAAGUAGCAAAGUUCAUCCAAAACUUUCGUUUCUCUUUCUCUCUUGAUGGAUACCUCCGAGAACCCAAAGAUGGUAAUGAUACCAGUUACUCUCAAGGGUCCUAACUACCUGACAUGGGCAAGACUUGCCAAAACAGCUCUCGGAGGCAGAGGUCUUUGGGAGAUUGUUGAAGAAGGCCGCCCCACCAAGAAGACUGUCCUAGGAGAGGAUGGCAAAGAAGUGGUGGUUGCGGAUGCUGGGGAUAAGAAGAAAGGUCAGGAGGACCUCAUGGUGUUGUCUAUCAUCCAGAAUAGCCUCGCCCCUUCUCUCCAAGAGGCUUAUGCAUUCUGUGAAACUUCCAAGGAGCUGUGGGAUACUCUCAAGAAGGUGUAUGCCAACAAAUCCAACAUCAGCAAGGUGUAUGAAGUAAAAGGAGCAAUCAAUUCUCUAAGUCAAGAGGACACAGACUUUGAUGCUCAUUUUGGGAAGUUCCGGUCUCUAUGGGCUGAGCUAGAGAUGCUCAGACCCGCAACAGUUGAUCCGGAUGUUCUACAUGAAAGAAGGGAGCAAGAUAAGGUCUUUGCCUUGCUGCUCACUCUCAACCCAGGGUAUGAUGACCUUAUUAGGCACAUACUGAGGAACAAGGAGCUUCCAUCUCUAGAUGAAGUGUGUGCUGAGAUUCAGAAGGAGCACGGCUCAGUGGGUCUCUUUAAGAGAAAGGGAGAGCUAGUGAUGGCCAAUCAAGCUGAAGGAGCCGAGAGCAAACCUGCCGGAGUAGCCAACAAAGGGUACUACAAGCCGGAGGAAAAGAAAGUGUGGGUGUGUGAUCAUUGCAAGAGGAAGGGUCACGGCAAGGACAAGUGCUGGAUACUUCACCCACACCUCAAACCGGCUAAGUUCAAGACUGAUGGUCGGGCAAACUACUCAGGUGAUGUAGGAGAAGCUUCCACGGCCUACCGCACUCAUGAGGGCAAGGGAAACCAGGAUGAGUCCAUCAAGAAAUCUGACAUUGAGGCACUCAUCAAAGCUCUCAAGGAGUCUGGUAAAACUCUUGGUUCCUCCCUUAGUGCAUCAUAUCAAUUGCCUAGGAGUUUAUUCACGGCGUUUCAAGUUGCUCAUGAAUCUGAUAGAGUUAAACCCUUAGUCAUAGACUCAGGAGCCUCUCAUCACAUGAUUAGUGAUUUAAAUUUGAUUAAAAAUAUCACUCCUGCAGUAGGAAAUGUUAUGAUAGCUGAUGGUAACAAGGUUCCAAUUAAAGGCAUAGGGGAACUUAAAUUAUUUGAGAAAGAAUCCAAAGCUUUCUACAUGCCUAGUUUCACUUCUAAUCUAUUAUCUGUGAAAAGGGUGACCAAUGACUUGAAUUGCAAUGUUAUAUUUACGCCUGAUGAUGUCUACUUUCAGGAUAUUGACUCAUGUAGGUUGCUUGGCAAAGGUGUGAGCAAGGGAAACCUGUACUUGCUAGAAGACACUAAGCUUGCAUCCGAUCUAUCUGUUGCUUUCAAUUCAAGUUUUAAUUUCCCUAAAGAUGUAAUGUGGCAUGCUAGAUUAGGACAUCCUCAUUCUCGUGCCUUGAACAUCAUGUUGCCUAGUAUUUCAUUCCAGCAAGAUUGUGAAGCUUGUAUCUUAGGAAAACAUUGCAAAACUGUAUUUCCCAAGUCUAGUACAAUCUAUGAACACUGCUUUGAUUUAAUCCACUCGGAUGUAUGGACAGCUCCAUGUCUUUCUAGAGAACAUCACAAGUAUUUUGUGACCUUUAUUGAUGAGAAAUCCAAGUACACAUGGAUCACUCUCUUACAAUCAAAGGAUAGGGUCUUAGAUGCAUUUAUAAACUUUGAAACAUAUGUCUCUAACCAUUAUAAUGCCAAAGUUAAGAUUUUGAGAUCAGAUAAUGGAGGAGAGUACACCAGCAAUGCAUUCAAAGCUCAUCUAGCCAAACAAGGUGUGAUUCAUCAAACCAGCUGUCCAUACACUCCCCAACAAAAUGGUGUGGCCGAGAGGAAGAACAGGCAUCUCAUGGAGGUCACUAGGAGCAUGAUGUUCCAUACUAGUGUCCCAAAGAGCUUUUGGGGUGAUGCGGUCCUAACUGCAUGCUACCUGAUCAACCGCAUUCCUACCAGAGUUCUACAAGACUGCUCUCCAUUUGAGGUAUUGAACAAAGCUAAACCAUCUAUUGAUCAUAUGCGUGUGUUUGGGUGCCUUUGUUUUGUUUUGAAACCAGGAGAACUGAGGAACAAACUGGAGGCUAAGAGCACAAGAGCUAUGUUCAUUGGGUAUUCACCAAACCAGAAGGGCUAUAAGUGCUAUGAACCAGAGACUAGGAGAGUCUUGGUAUCUAGAGAUGUGAAGUUUGUAGAAACCAGAGGGUACUACAACAACAAGGAUUGGAAUGAGCUGGAGAACUUGUCUCAAUCCGCAUCAGAUAGAGCAGCCAAUCUCAGACAAGUCAUGAGGAGACUUGGGGUCAGCUUACCUAUGGAAGAGCCGGGACAAGCAGGAUCAGAUAAUGUGGGAGGAUCAAGCCGGUCUGAAGAGCAAACCGAGACAACUACAGAUGAAGUUGAGAUCCAAGAAGCUGCUCCCCUUGAUCCUGAGGGGGGAAAUCAGGGUGAACCACCUGUAUCUGAGGAAGUUCAUGAUCAAGAAGAGCACCAUGACCAAGAGGAGGAAGUGGAGGAUCAGAAUCAGAACUUGGAAGGUGGAGAAGGCACUCAGAAUGAAAAUGAUCAGCCAGUACUUAGGAGAAGUACUAGGAUCAAGAAGCCGGCUUCAAACUGGAACAACACCAGAGUCUACUUCAAUGCAGAGGCAGUAGCUCACCCACCCAGUGGCGUGUGCUCCCUAGCUCACUAUCCAGAAGAACAUCAAGCCUUUGUGGGCUCAUUGGAUCAGGAAUGGAUACCAAGAACAUAUGCAGAAGCUAUGGAAGAUGAUGAAUGGAGGGAAUCAGUGAAUGAUGAAAUGGGAGCCAUGGAGAGGAACAACACCUGGUAUGAGACAGAGCUUCCAAAAGGAAAGAAAGCCGUGACCAGCAGACUCAUACACACUAUCAAGUAUCUUGCAAAUGGAAAGCCAGAAAGAAAAAAGACCAGAUUGGUAGCAAGAGGAUACACACAAGUUUAUGGAGAAGACUAUCUAGACACCUUUGCACCAGUGGCCAAGCUUCACACAAUCCGGAUUAUCCUUUCAUUGGCAGUAAAUCAAGAGUGGGAUCUUUGGCAAAUGGAUGUGAAGAAUGCCUUCUUGCAAGGUGAACUAGAAGAUGAGGUAUAUAUGAGACCACCGCCGGGAAUGGAAGAGAUGGUGAAACCAGGGAAUGUACUCAGACUCAGAAAAGCCAUAUAUGGUUUGAAACAAUCACCAAGAGCUUGGUAUCACAAGCUGAGCACUACACUGAAUGGGAGAGGCUUUGUGAAGUCUCAAGCGGAUCACACACUCUUCACUCUCACCAGCAAGCAAGGGAUUGUUGUGAUUCUAGUCUAUGUGGAUGAUAUCAUCAUCACUGGUUGUGACAAGGAGGGGAUCAGUUCAACCAAGACCUUUCUUAAAGCCGCAUUUGAUAUCAAAGACCUAGGAGAACUGAAGUACUUCCUCGGCAUUGAGAUGUGCAGAUCAAAGGAAGGAUUGUUCAUGUCCCAAAGAAAGUAUACCCUGGACAUCUUAAAGGAGGCAGGAGAUCUUGGAGGAAGACAAGCCAAGACACCACUUGAAGAAGGUUACAAGGUAUUGCGAGAGGGGGAGUAUGAAGAUACUCCAUUUGAAGAUGUCAAACAAUAUAGACGGAUGGUUGGGAAGCUGAUCUAUCUAACCAUCACUCGGCCAGAUGUGUGCUUUGCAGUUAAUCAAGUAAGCCAACAUAUGCAAACUCCCAAGGUUCAUCACUGGAACAUGGUGGAGAGGAUACUAAGAUACUUGAGAGAGGCACCAGGUCAGGGUGUAUGGAUGGCUUGCAACAAGAACACUGAGGUGAUAGGAUACUGUGAUGCAGAUUGGGCUGGGGACAGAAUAGACAGAAGAUCAACCACCGGCUAUUGUACAUUCAUUGGAGGAAAUCUGGUCACUUGGAAGAGCAAGAAACAGAAGGUAGUGUCUUGCUCUAGUGCAGAAGCAGAGUACAGAUCAAUGAGGAAGCUAACCAGUGAGCUUAUCUGGAUAAAAGGGCUUCUAGGCGACUUGGGAAUUGAGAUCAAAACUCCCAUGACCAUGCAUUGUGACAACCAAGCCGCAAUACACAUUGCAUCCAACUCAGUCUUCCAUGAGAGGACAAAACACAUAGAAGUGGACUGCCUCAAGGUAAGACAAGCAGUAGAGCAGCAAGUGAUUCUCCCAUGUUAUACAAGAAGUGAGGAUCAGCUGGCUGACAUCUUCACCAAGGCGGCCAGUAGCAAAGUUUGUGAGUCCAUUCUUCCAAGACUUGGACUCAUAAACCUCCCAUGUCAAUAAUCCCCUCACCAUGGAGUAUUCUACUCUUUUUCCUUUGCUUGGUUUUUAUCCCAAGUGGUUUUUCCAAGUAAAGGUUUUAAUGAGGGAAUGCUUCAUGGUUUCCAAGCUUGACAAUCACCACUGUCAAGCUUGAGGGGGAGUGUUGACAUGAAGCAAUAAAGAGAGGAGAAUGAAGUAAGAAGCAAGAGGGGAACAAUUACAUCCGGAUCAAGCAAUCACUCAACUUACCUUGCUAGACAAGUCUGUCCGUACAAGACAACCCUAACUUGGAGUGCAAGACAUAAGAGUGACUGAUGUAGAAGAGAAGAAGGCAAGAAGAAUGUUUGGAAUCGCCUAAGGGAAGUGGGGAACCGUUGAGAGUGCAGGUCACGGGUCUGGUUAAGGAUUCAAAGUCUUCCCACCCGUUAGGACCUGUCACUAUCCAGGACCACUUUGCCCAUCUCUCCUCUGUCUUAACUUCUUUGUUUAUUGUUUCCUUAAUGUCGACAUCUUGCUGUAUGAAUUCUAUAAAUGGGUUGUUCCCAUAAACAAAUCAUUCAAGGGAAAAGAGUUCUCUAUUAUUCUCUUUGUCAAUCUCUCUCUCUCUCUCACGGUUCAACCUAGUUCUUCUCUAAUCUCUUCACAAAUCUUCCUUAAACUCUCACAUAAAUCCUAUAAAACUCUCAAGAGAGGUUUCCAAAGGAGAGGAAGUCUAAGCUAAUGCCGCGGAUUGAUGGCCCUUUUGAAGUCACCAAGAGGAUCAAUGACAAUGCCUACAAACUUGAUCUGCAAGGUAAGUACGAUAUAAGUGAUAGCUUCAAUGUUACUGACUUGAUCCCUUUUGUUGCAGAUGAGCCAGAUUUGAGGACAAAUCCUUUUCAAGAGGGAGGGGAUGAUGUGAUCAUGGACCAACUACCUAAUGAAGAUGAUGAGGAUCUAGAUAAGCCGGCUGAUGAAGAUGUCCUAGCCUUGCCGAAAGGACCUAUGACUCGAUCAAGAUCAAGAAAGCUCACGCAAGUUAUUGGGGGAUUGGUUAAGAUGUCAUGGAAGCAAGAGGAAUGUCUUGGUAGAAGCUUGAUCAACCAAGACACACUUAUCACCAUUCAAGCUACUUCACCAUCAAGCUGAUCAUCAACUAAGCAAGCAAUCUAUGCGUGCUCUUUUUCCCUAUCUUUGGUUUUGUCCCAAUGGGUUUUCCAAAGAUAGGUUUUUAACGAGGCCAUAGAUUUGCUUCUCAAAACUCUUAGUUGAUGAUCUCGAUCCGACCUUAUCCCGGAUCAACCUUAUGUUAUACAUUUCAUGUUUUUGUUUUCAAACUUGUCAUUAGUUCUAUUUUCAAGAGAACCGUGUGCCUUUACUCUCUUGAUAGUUUUCGAGAAGCUUGGAGUCUGUUCCAACUUCUCUUAUAUAAGUGUACUUUGAAACCCUUAUCAAUAACAAUUAUCUUUUAUCAUAAACCUUUUCCUUUGUUCUCUCUACUGCUUGUUUGCGAGUUGUUGAGUGUUCUUGUUGGUGUGUAAUAUCCAACAGCCCAAGAGUGUCUAUCUCGGUGUGUCAUAUCCGAUCUAGUCACUUAGGAGUAUCAGGAAGCCUUUCCGCAGCCUCUUGUGUCACCAAUCGAUUCACAACCUUGUAGAACUUGAGUCUUUGAUUCGUUCUAGCAAGGAUCUAUCCCAGACUAUCCAGAGAAGCAAUCUAGGGACGUAUUAGGUCACGGCAAGGACAAGUGCUGGAUACUUCACCCACACCUCAAACCGGCUAAGUUCAAGACUGAUGGUCGGGCAAACUACUCAGGUGAUGUAGGAGAAGCUUCCACGGCCUACCGCACUCAUGAGGGCAAGGGAAACCAGGAUGAGUCCAUCAAGAAAUCUGACAUUGAGGCACUCAUCAAAGCUCUCAAGGAGUCUGGUAAAACUCUUGGUUCCUCCCUUAGUGCAUCAUAUCAAUUGCCUAGGAGUUUAUUCACGGCGUUUCAAGUUGCUCAUGAAUCUGAUAGAGUUAAACCCUUAGUCAUAGACUCAGGAGCCUCUCAUCACAUGAUUAGUGAUUUAAAUUUGAUUAAAAAUAUCACUCCUGCAGUAGGAAAUGUUAUGAUAGCUGAUGGUAACAAGGUUCCAAUUAAAGGCAUAGGGGAACUUAAAUUAUUUGAGAAAGAAUCCAAAGCUUUCUACAUGCCUAGUUUCACUUCUAAUCUAUUAUCUGUGAAAAGGGUGACCAAUGACUUGAAUUGCAAUGUUAUAUUUACGCCUGAUGAUGUCUACUUUCAGGAUAUUGACUCAUGUAGGUUGCUUGGCAAAGGUGUGAGCAAGGGAAACCUGUACUUGCUAGAAGACACUAAGCUUGCAUCCGAUCUAUCUGUUGCUUUCAAUUCAAGUUUUAAUUUCCCUAAAGAUGUAAUGUGGCAUGCUAGAUUAGGACAUCCUCAUUCUCGUGCCUUGAACAUCAUGUUGCCUAGUAUUUCAUUCCAGCAAGAUUGUGAAGCUUGUAUCUUAGGAAAACAUUGCAAAACUGUAUUUCCCAAGUCUAGUACAAUCUAUGAACACUGCUUUGAUUUAAUCCACUCGGAUGUAUGGACAGCUCCAUGUCUUUCUAGAGAACAUCACAAGUAUUUUGUGACCUUUAUUGAUGAGAAAUCCAAGUACACAUGGAUCACUCUCUUACAAUCAAAGGAUAGGGUCUUAGAUGCAUUUAUAAACUUUGAAACAUAUGUCUCUAACCAUUAUAAUGCCAAAGUUAAGAUUUUGAGAUCAGAUAAUGGAGGAGAGUACACCAGCAAUGCAUUCAAAGCUCAUCUAGCCAAACAAGGUGUGAUUCAUCAAACCAGCUGUCCAUACACUCCCCAACAAAAUGGUGUGGCCGAGAGGAAGAACAGGCAUCUCAUGGAGGUCACUAGGAGCAUGAUGUUCCAUACUAGUGUCCCAAAGAGCUUUUGGGGUGAUGCGGUCCUAACUGCAUGCUACCUGAUCAACCGCAUUCCUACCAGAGUUCUACAAGACUGCUCUCCAUUUGAGGUAUUGAACAAAGCUAAACCAUCUAUUGAUCAUAUGCGUGUGUUUGGGUGCCUUUGUUUUGUUUUGAAACCAGGAGAACUGAGGAACAAACUGGAGGCUAAGAGCACAAGAGCUAUGUUCAUUGGGUAUUCACCAAACCAGAAGGGCUAUAAGUGCUAUGAACCAGAGACUAGGAGAGUCUUGGUAUCUAGAGAUGUGAAGUUUGUAGAAACCAGAGGGUACUACAACAACAAGGAUUGGAAUGAGCUGGAGAACUUGUCUCAAUCCGCAUCAGAUAGAGCAGCCAAUCUCAGACAAGUCAUGAGGAGACUUGGGGUCAGCUUACCUAUGGAAGAGCCGGGACAAGCAGGAUCAGAUAAUGUGGGAGGAUCAAGCCGGUCUGAAGAGCAAACCGAGACAACUACAGAUGAAGUUGAGAUCCAAGAAGCUGCUCCCCUUGAUCCUGAGGGGGGAAAUCAGGGUGAACCACCUGUAUCUGAGGAAGUUCAUGAUCAAGAAGAGCACCAUGACCAAGAGGAGGAAGUGGAGGAUCAGAAUCAGAACUUGGAAGGUGGAGAAGGCACUCAGAAUGAAAAUGAUCAGCCAGUACUUAGGAGAAGUACUAGGAUCAAGAAGCCGGCUUCAAACUGGAACAACACCAGAGUCUACUUCAAUGCAGAGGCAGUAGCUCACCCACCCAGUGGCGUGUGCUCCCUAGCUCACUAUCCAGAAGAACAUCAAGCCUUUGUGGGCUCAUUGGAUCAGGAAUGGAUACCAAGAACAUAUGCAGAAGCUAUGGAAGAUGAUGAAUGGAGGGAAUCAGUGAAUGAUGAAAUGGGAGCCAUGGAGAGGAACAACACCUGGUAUGAGACAGAGCUUCCAAAAGGAAAGAAAGCCGUGACCAGCAGACUCAUACACACUAUCAAGUAUCUUGCAAAUGGAAAGCCAGAAAGAAAAAAGACCAGAUUGGUAGCAAGAGGAUACACACAAGUUUAUGGAGAAGACUAUCUAGACACCUUUGCACCAGUGGCCAAGCUUCACACAAUCCGGAUUAUCCUUUCAUUGGCAGUAAAUCAAGAGUGGGAUCUUUGGCAAAUGGAUGUGAAGAAUGCCUUCUUGCAAGGUGAACUAGAAGAUGAGGUAUAUAUGAGACCACCGCCGGGAAUGGAAGAGAUGGUGAAACCAGGGAAUGUACUCAGACUCAGAAAAGCCAUAUAUGGUUUGAAACAAUCACCAAGAGCUUGGUAUCACAAGCUGAGCACUACACUGAAUGGGAGAGGCUUUGUGAAGUCUCAAGCGGAUCACACACUCUUCACUCUCACCAGCAAGCAAGGGAUUGUUGUGAUUCUAGUCUAUGUGGAUGAUAUCAUCAUCACUGGUUGUGACAAGGAGGGGAUCAGUUCAACCAAGACCUUUCUUAAAGCCGCAUUUGAUAUCAAAGACCUAGGAGAACUGAAGUACUUCCUCGGCAUUGAGAUGUGCAGAUCAAAGGAAGGAUUGUUCAUGUCCCAAAGAAAGUAUACCCUGGACAUCUUAAAGGAGGCAGGAGAUCUUGGAGGAAGACAAGCCAAGACACCACUUGAAGAAGGUUACAAGGUAUUGCGAGAGGGGGAGUAUGAAGAUACUCCAUUUGAAGAUGUCAAACAAUAUAGACGGAUGGUUGGGAAGCUGAUCUAUCUAACCAUCACUCGGCCAGAUGUGUGCUUUGCAGUUAAUCAAGUAAGCCAACAUAUGCAAACUCCCAAGGUUCAUCACUGGAACAUGGUGGAGAGGAUACUAAGAUACUUGAGAGAGGCACCAGGUCAGGGUGUAUGGAUGGCUUGCAACAAGAACACUGAGGUGAUAGGAUACUGUGAUGCAGAUUGGGCUGGGGACAGAAUAGACAGAAGAUCAACCACCGGCUAUUGUACAUUCAUUGGAGGAAAUCUGGUCACUUGGAAGAGCAAGAAACAGAAGGUAGUGUCUUGCUCUAGUGCAGAAGCAGAGUACAGAUCAAUGAGGAAGCUAACCAGUGAGCUUAUCUGGAUAAAAGGGCUUCUAGGCGACUUGGGAAUUGAGAUCAAAACUCCCAUGACCAUGCAUUGUGACAACCAAGCCGCAAUACACAUUGCAUCCAACUCAGUCUUCCAUGAGAGGACAAAACACAUAGAAGUGGACUGCCUCAAGGUAAGACAAGCAGUAGAGCAGCAAGUGAUUCUCCCAUGUUAUACAAGAAGUGAGGAUCAGCUGGCUGACAUCUUCACCAAGGCGGCCAGUAGCAAAGUUUGUGAGUCCAUUCUUCCAAGACUUGGACUCAUAAACCUCCCAUGUCAAUAAUCCCCUCACCAUGGAGUAUUCUACUCUUUUUCCUUUGCUUGGUUUUUAUCCCAAGUGGUUUUUCCAAGUAAAGGUUUUAAUGAGGGAAUGCUUCAUGGUUUCCAAGCUUGACAAUCACCACUGUCAAGCUUGAGGGGGAGUGUUGACAUGAAGCAAUAAAGAGAGGAGAAUGAAGUAAGAAGCAAGAGGGGAACAAUUACAUCCGGAUCAAGCAAUCACUCAACUUACCUUGCUAGACAAGUCUGUCCGUACAAGACAACCCUAACUUGGAGUGCAAGACAUAAGAGUGACUGAUGUAGAAGAGAAGAAGGCAAGAAGAAUGUUUGGAAUCGCCUAAGGGAAGUGGGGAACCGUUGAGAGUGCAGGUCACGGGUCUGGUUAAGGAUUCAAAGUCUUCCCACCCGUUAGGACCUGUCACUAUCCAGGACCACUUUGCCCAUCUCUCCUCUGUCUUAACUUCUUUGUUUAUUGUUUCCUUAAUGUCGACAUCUUGCUGUAUGAAUUCUAUAAAUGGGUUGUUCCCAUAAACAAAUCAUUCAAGGGAAAAGAGUUCUCUAUUAUUCUCUUUGUCAAUCUCUCUCUCUCUCUCACGGUUCAACCUAGUUCUUCUCUAAUCUCUUCACAAAUCUUCCUUAAACUCUCACAUAAAUCCUAUAAAACUCUCAAGAGAGGUUUCCAAAGGAGAGGAAGUCUAAGCUAAUGCCGCGGAUUGAUGGCCCUUUUGAAGUCACCAAGAGGAUCAAUGACAAUGCCUACAAACUUGAUCUGCAAGGUAAGUACGAUAUAAGUGAUAGCUUCAAUGUUACUGACUUGAUCCCUUUUGUUGCAGAUGAGCCAGAUUUGAGGACAAAUCCUUUUCAAGAGGGAGGGGAUGAUGUGAUCAUGGACCAACUACCUAAUGAAGAUGAUGAGGAUCUAGAUAAGCCGGCUGAUGAAGAUGUCCUAGCCUUGCCGAAAGGACCUAUGACUCGAUCAAGAUCAAGAAAGCUCACGCAAGUUAUUGGGGGAUUGGUUAAGAUGUCAUGGAAGCAAGAGGAAUGUCUUGGUAGAAGCUUGAUCAACCAAGACACACUUAUCACCAUUCAAGCUACUUCACCAUCAAGCUGAUCAUCAACUAAGCAAGCAAUCUAUGCGUGCUCUUUUUCCCUAUCUUUGGUUUUGUCCCAAUGGGUUUUCCAAAGAUAGGUUUUUAACGAGGCCAUAGAUUUGCUUCUCAAAACUCUUAGUUGAUGAUCUCGAUCCGACCUUAUCCCGGAUCAACCUUAUGUUAUACAUUUCAUGUUUUUGUUUUCAAACUUGUCAUUAGUUCUAUUUUCAAGAGAACCGUGUGCCUUUACUCUCUUGAUAGUUUUCGAGAAGCUUGGAGUCUGUUCCAACUUCUCUUAUAUAAGUGUACUUUGAAACCCUUAUCAAUAACAAUUAUCUUUUAUCAUAAACCUUUUCCUUUGUUCUCUCUACUGCUUGUUUGCGAGUUGUUGAGUGUUCUUGUUGGUGUGUAAUAUCCAACAGCCCAAGAGUGUCUAUCUCGGUGUGUCAUAUCCGAUCUAGUCACUUAGGAGUAUCAGGAAGCCUUUCCGCAGCCUCUUGUGUCACCAAUCGAUUCACAACCUUGUAGAACUUGAGUCUUUGAUUCGUUCUAGCAAGGAUCUAUCCCAGACUAUCCAGAGAAGCAAUCUAGGGACGUAUUAUGUGGUAUCAGAGCAUCUCUGGUUAGGGAAGUUCUCGUUUCUCUUUUGUUUCGAUUUAACCUGUUCAACUUCUUGAUCAGUUUUAGAUCGAUCCGUUUUGUUUCAACUGAUCUGUUCUGUGAUUCGCAAUAUCCAUUGAUUGAUCUGUAAACCAGGGUUGUUUGAUUGUGUGAUCUAAUCGUUUUGUGUCAAACAAAUUGUUAAGAAGUUUGAAUUGAUAGAUCUAGGUUUCGUGCUUUUAGAUCUGAUCAUUAUCGAUUCAUAUUCUCGUUUUGAUUCCUUGUUUAAACCUGAUUGAUUGUGUGAUCUGUUUUGAAUCACCUAUAACAACUAGAUCUACUUGUGUAUCGUCGAAAUCUGAUCAACGAACCUACCCUGAUCUCGUUUCUAUUGCGAUUUACUUGUUGUCGAUAUGAAUUCUUGUUACUUGUUAAUCAAGUUUUCUUUACCGCCAGUUUAUUUCAGUUUAAAAUCUCUUGAUCAUCUACUGAUUACGAUCAGUUUAUUGGAAUUAUUUACUGGUUGAGUGUUGUUGUUGAUUCUAGGUCCCAAUGGGGAAAGAAUCAGAAGAAGAAGCCGAGCUAGUAAGGAAGAACAAGAUGCUGAGAGAGCAAAUGACCGAGCAAAUGAAUCAGACUAUGAUCUCUACAAUGGCUGAUAUGCUCAAGGCUAGCAUGAAGGAAUUACGUGAGGAGAUGAGACAAGAGUUGAGGCAAGCUACUGGCCAGGGACAUAGCAAUGAGUCUAGAAGGAACCGGCCUACUCCAGUACGGCAAGAGCAUGCGGGUUCACAAGAGACCGACAACUACUACUCGCGCCAUAGAACUGAGCACAACCCAACUGAGCGCAGUAGUUCUUCAUCUGAACUGAGCAGAGGAAGAUCGAGGCGUGAACAUGAUGGAAGGGGAUCACGCAAAGACAAGCUUUCUGGACUUAAGCUUAAGAUUCCACCCUUCCAUGGCAAGAUUGAUCCAGAUGCCUAUUUGGAAUGGGAAAAGAAGAUCGAGCUUGUCUUCAAUUGCCAACACUACUCCAAUGCCCAACGGAUCAAGAUAGCAGCAACUGAAUUCUAUGAUUAUGCAUUGAGUUGGUGGGAUCAGCUUGUAACUACUAGACGGCUUAACCAAGAGAACCCGGUUGAUUCAUGGCACGAGAUGAAGUCACUCAUGCGCAAACGGUUUGUUCCAAGUCAUUAUCACCGCGAUCUACAUCAAAAGCUACGAAGACUUACCCAAGGAACACGAACUGUUGAAGAGUACUAUCAAGACAUGGAGUUGCUGAUGUUACGCGCUAGUAUCUUGGAGGAUAGAGAAACUACUAUGGCAAGGUUUCUUGGAGGACUUAACCGUGAGAUACAAGACAAUGUGGAGAUGCAACACUAUGUGGAGAUAGAAGAGAUGUUGCACAAAGCUAUUCUAGUGGAGCAGCAGCUCAAGAGGAAGGGUAACUCACGCAGCUAUGGAUCUUCUAAGUUCCACCACUCUAAGGAGGAGAAAACAUCCUAUCUAAAGGAUAGCAAGCCUCAACAGAAAGAAGAGACUAAGCCGAGCAACACAUACAGCAAAGACAAAGGCAAAGCUGAAAUUACUAGUUCAAGAACCAGAGAUGUUAAGUGUUUCAAAUGUCAAGGGCGUGGGCAUUAUGCUAAUGAGUGCACCAACAAAAAGGUUAUGAUUCUUCUUGAGAAUGGAGAGUAUGAAUCAGAGGAAGAGAAGUUUGGUUCUGAUCAUGAGGAGUCUGAUGAAGAAAGUGAAGUAGAACCCGUGAAGGGAAGAUUUUUGGUGACAAGAAGGCUCUUGAACGUACAAGCUAAGAAUGGAGAGCUUGAGCAGCGAGAGAAUCUAUUCUACACAAGGUGUAUGGUUCAGGGAAAGGUGUGCAGCCUCAUUAUUGAUGGAGGAAGUUCUGUCAAUGUAGCAAGUGAGACAAUGGUGAAGAAAUUGGGUUUGAACAUCCAGAAACACCCAAGACCCUACAGAUUGCAAUGGCUCAAUGAGGAGGGCGAGAUGAGAGUUUCUACUCAAGUACUGGUUCCUAUAGCCAUUGGUAGAUAUGAAGAUGAAGUCUUGUGUGAUGUGUUGCCAAUGGAAGCCAGUCAUAUACUUCUUGGAAGACCCUGGCAGUAUGAUAGACGUGUGAAUCAUGAUGGCUUCACCAACAAGCACUCAUUUGAAUUCAAUGGAAAGAAGACUGUGCUGGUGCCUUUGUCUCCUAAAGAGGUUCAUGAAGAUCAACUCCAGCUUCAGAAAAAGAAAGAGAAAAAGAUUGAUCUCAAACCUGAUCAUAACAAGCAUCACAGCCUCUAUGCCAAACAGGGAGAUAUCAAAAGAAUUCUCUACUCUCAAAAUUCUAUUAUCUUGCUUAUGUUUAAAGAGACUCUUCUAACAGUUACUGAUCACACACCGGAUCAUCCGAGUGAACUAGUUUCUCUUUUACAGGAAUAUGCAGAUGUGUUUCCAGAAGAUAGCCCCAUUGGAUUGCCUCCAGUGCGUGGGAUUGAGCACCAAAUAGACUUUGUACCUGGUUCUACACUGCCCAACCGUCCAGCAUACAGGACCAAUCCAGUUGAAACUAAAGAACUGCAAAAACAAGUAGAGGAGCUGAUGGAGAAGGGUCAUAUCCGAGAGAGUUUGAGUCCUUGUGCAGUUCCAGUGCUCCUUGUGCCAAAGAAAGAUGGGAGCUGGCGCAUGUGUGUUGAUUGUAGAGCAAUCAACAACAUAACAGUGAAGUAUCGCCACCCUAUUCCUAGAUUAGAUGAUAUGCUUGAUGAGUUGCAUGGUUCUUGCAUAUUUUCUAAGAUAUAUUUGAAAAGUGGAUAUCAUCAGAUUAGGAUGAAAGAAGGAGAUGAGUGGAAAACUGCUUUUAAAACUAAACAUGGCUUGUAUGAAUGGUUAGUUAUGCCAUUUGGACUAACCAAUGCGCCUAGUACAUUCAUGAGACUGAUGAAUCAUAUUCUUAGGUCUUUCAUAGGCAUCUUUGUUGUUGUGUACUUUGAUGAUAUAUUAGUUUACAGCAAAUGCUUAGAAGAUCAUAUAGAACAUCUUAGGGCUGUUUUGGAUGUUUUGAGAAAAGAAAAGCUUUAUGCCAAUCUAAAGAAGUGCACUUUUUGCACAGAUAACUUGGUCUUUCUAGGUUUUGUUGUAAGUGCAGAUGGUGUAAAGGUGGAUCAGGAAAAGAUCAAAGCAAUACAAGAGUGGCCGAGUCCAACUACAGUGGGAGAAGUAAGGAGUUUUCAUGGACUGGCAGGUUUCUAUAGGCGUUUUGUGAAGGAUUUCAGCACUCUAGCAGCUCCCCUAACUGAGAUAAUCAAGAAGGAUGUAGGAUUCAAGUGGGGAGAAGUUCAAGAAGCCGCAUUCCAACUCCUUAAAGAGAAGCUUACUCAAUCUCCUCUUCUCAUACUUCCUGAUUUUUCUAAAACAUUUGAAAUAGAAUGUGAUGCCUCAGGAAUUGGAAUUGGUGCUGUUUUGAUGCAGGAUAAGAGACCUAUUGCUUAUUUCAGUGAGAAACUCAGUGGAGCUACUCUCAACUAUGCCACUUAUGACAAGGAACUCUACGCAUUGGUGAGAGCUCUACAGACUUGGCAGCAUUAUCUCUGGCCAAAGGAGUUUGUCAUUCAUACCGACCAUGAAUCUCUCAAGUAUCUCAAAGGACAAAGUAAGCUCAGCAAGAGACAUGCUAGAUGGGUAGAGUUCAUUGAAACCUUUCCUUAUGUGAUCAAAUACAAACAAGGUAAGGAAAAUAUAGUUGCUGAUGCACUAUCCAGAAGGUAUGUCCUCUUAACUACUCUUGAUGCUAAGUUGCUAGGCUUUGAGCAGAUUAAAGACAUGUAUGAAUCUGAUCCUGACUUUCAAGACGCUUAUAAAUCAUGUGCUAAGUAUGCUUCAGGACAUUAUUUUAGGUAUGAUGGAUUCUUAUUCUAUGACAAUCGUUUAUGUGUGCCUAAUUGCUCUUUGAGAGAUCUAUUUGUCAGGGAAUCCCAUGGAGGAAGCUUGAUGGGUCAUUUUGGUAUAGCAAAAACCCUUAAAGUUCUGCAGGAUCACUUCUAUUGGCCGCAUAUGAAAAGAGAUGUGGAGAGAAUCUGUGGAAGGUGCACAACUUGCAAGCUUGCAAAGUCUAAGGUUCAACCUCACGGUUUGUAUACUCCUUUGCCUAUUCCUACUCAUCCUUGGAAUGAUAUAUCUAUGGAUUUUGUUAUGGGUUUGCCUAGAACUAGGACCGGGAAGGAUUCUAUCUUUGUGGUUGUUGAUAGAUUCUCUAAAAUGGCACAUUUCAUAGCUUGCAAUAAGACUGAUGAUGCAUUACAUGUAGCUAAUUUGUUCUUUAAAGAAGUGGUACGUUUGCAUGGAAUGCCUAGGACUAUAGUUUCAGAUAGAGAUACUAAAUUCCUUAGCUACUUUUGGAAAACAUUGUGGUCUAAACUAGGAACUAAGCUAUUGUUUUCUACUACUUGUCAUCCACAAACUGAUGGGCAGACUGAAGUAGUUAAUAGAACCUUAGGUACUCUCCUGCGUGCAUUUAUCAAAAAGAACUUGAAAACAUGGGAAGAUUUCUUGCCUCAUUGUGAAUUUGCAUACAAUCAUGCUAUGCAUUCUGCUUCUAAGUUUUCUCCUUUUGAAAUUGUUUAUGGGUUCAAUCCCAUCUCACCUUUGGAUCUAAUACCUUUACCUGAGUGUGAAAGGGUUAGUAUGGAUGGGAAAAAGAAAGCUGAGAUGGUUCAGCAGAUUCAUGAGCAAGCUAAGCGCAAUCUUGAAGAGAAAACUAAGCAAUACGCCAAACAAGCUAACAAGGGAAGGCGUAAGAUGAUCUUUGAUGUUGGAAAUCAAGUAUGGGUUCACUUGAGGAAAGAGAGGUUUCCAAAGGAGAGGAAGUCUAAGCUAAUGCCGCGGAUUGAUGGCCCUUUUGAAGUCACCAAGAGGAUCAAUGACAAUGCCUACAAACUUGAUCUGCAAGGUAAGUACGAUAUAAGUGAUAGCUUCAAUGUUACUGACUUGAUCCCUUUUGUUGCAGAUGAGCCAGAUUUGAGGACAAAUCCUUUUCAAGAGGGAGGGGAUGAUGUGAUCAUGGACCAACUACCUAAUGAAGAUGAUGAGGAUCUAGAUAAGCCGGCUGAUGAAGAUGUCCUAGCCUUGCCGAAAGGACCUAUGACUCGAUCAAGAUCAAGAAAGCUCACGCAAGUUAUUGGGGGAUUGGUUAAGAUGUCAUGGAAGCAAGAGGAAUGUCUUGGUAGAAGCUUGAUCAACCAAGACACACUUAUCACCAUUCAAGCUACUUCACCAUCAAGCUGAUCAUCAACUAAGCAAGCAAUCUAUGCGUGCUCUUUUUCCCUAUCUUUGGUUUUGUCCCAAUGGGUUUUCCAAAGAUAGGUUUUUAACGAGGCCAUAGAUUUGCUUCUCAAAACUCUUAGUUGAUGAUCUCGAUCCGACCUUAUCCCGGAUCAACCUUAUGUUAUACAUUUCAUGUUUUUGUUUUCAAACUUGUCAUUAGUUCUAUUUUCAAGAGAACCGUGUGCCUUUACUCUCUUGAUAGUUUUCGAGAAGCUUGGAGUCUGUUCCAACUUCUCUUAUAUAAGUGUACUUUGAAACCCUUAUCAAUAACAAUUAUCUUUUAUCAUAAACCUUUUCCUUUGUUCUCUCCACUGCUUGUUUGCGAGUUGUUGAGUGUUCUUGUUGGUGUGUAAUAUCCAACAGCCCAAGAGUGUCUAUCUCGGUGUGUCAUAUCCGAUCUAGUCACUUAGGAGUAUCAGGAAGCCUUUCCGCAGCCUCUUGUGUCACCAAUCGAUUCACAACCUUGUAGAACUUGAGUCUUUGAUUCGUUCUAGCAAGGAUCUAUCCCAGACUAUCCAGAGAAGCAAUCUAGGGACGUAUUAGAUUCAUCCUGGUGUUAUUGGAACGACGAAGAAGCUGUCCUAUUCCCAAACUGGGAAACUGGAAUCACCUGAUUAGAAAGUGGGAUAACUUCUUCAUCCCAACUCCUAUGAGAUUAAUUCAACUUCCUGGUGAUUCUCCACCACUUUAUGUAUCCAAAUCAAGCUUCUUACAAAGUGAUUCUGAUGUGAUCAUGGACCAACUACCUAAUGAAGAUGAUGAGGAUCUAGAUAAGCCGGCUGAUGAAGAUGUCCUAGCCUUGCCGAAAGGACCUAUGACUCGAUCAAGAUCAAGAAAGCUCACGCAAGUUAUUGGGGGAUUGGUUAAGAUGUCAUGGAAGCAAGAGGAAUGUCUUGGUAGAAGCUUGAUCAACCAAGACACACUUAUCACCAUUCAAGCUACUUCACCAUCAAGCUGAUCAUCAACUAAGCAAGCAAUCUAUGCGUGCUCUUUUUCCCUAUCUUUGGUUUUGUCCCAAUGGGUUUUCCAAAGAUAGGUUUUUAACGAGGCCAUAGAUUUGCUUCUCAAAACUCUUAGUUGAUGAUCUCGAUCCGACCUUAUCCCGGAUCAACCUUAUGUUAUACAUUUCAUGUUUUUGUUUUCAAACUUGUCAUUAGUUCUAUUUUCAAGAGAACCGUGUGCCUUUACUCUCUUGAUAGUUUUCGAGAAGCUUGGAGUCUGUUCCAACUUCUCUUAUAUAAGUGUACUUUGAAACCCUUAUCAAUAACAAUUAUCUUUUAUCAUAAACCUUUUCCUUUGUUCUCUCCACUGCUUGUUUGCGAGUUGUUGAGUGUUCUUGUUGGUGUGUAAUAUCCAACAGCCCAAGAGUGUCUAUCUCGGUGUGUCAUAUCCGAUCUAGUCACUUAGGAGUAUCAGGAAGCCUUUCCGCAGCCUCUUGUGUCACCAAUCGAUUCACAACCUUGUAGAACUUGAGUCUUUGAUUCGUUCUAGCAAGGAUCUAUCCCAGACUAUCCAGAGAAGCAAUCUAGGGACGUAUUAUGUGGUAUCAGAGCAUCUCUGGUUAGGGAAGUUCUCGUUUCUCUUUUGUUUCGAUUUAACCUGUUCAACUUCUUGAUCAGUUUUAGAUCGAUCCGUUUUGUUUCAACUGAUCUGUUCUGUGAUUCGCAAUAUCCAUUGAUUGAUCUGUAAACCAGGGUUGUUUGAUUGUGUGAUCUAAUCGUUUUGUGUCAAACAAAUUGUUAAGAAGUUUGAAUUGAUAGAUCUAGGUUUCGCGCUUUUAGAUCUGAUCAUUAUCGAUUCAUAUUCUCGUUUUGAUUCCUUGUUUAAACCUGAUUGAUUGUGUGAUCUGUUUUAAAUCACCUAUAACAACUAGAUCUACUUGUGUAUCGUCGAAAUCUGAUCAACGAACCUACCCUGAUCUCGUUUCUAUUGCGAUUUACUUGUUGUCGAUUUGAAUUCUUGUUACUUGUUAAUCAAGUUUUCUUUACCGCCAGUUUAUUUCAGUUUAAAAUCUCUUGAUCAUCUACUGAUUACGAUCAGUUUAUUGGAAUUAUUUACUGGUUGAGUGUUGUUGUUGAUUCUAGGUACCAAUGGGGAAAGAAUCAGAAGAAGAAGCCGAGCUAGUAAGGAAGAACAAGAUGCUGAGAGAGCAAAUGACCGAGCAAAUGAAUCAGACUAUGAUCUCUACAAUGGCUGAUAUGCUCAAGGCUAGCAUGAAGGAAUUACGUGAGGAGAUGAGACAAGAGUUGAGGCAAGCUACUGGCCAGGGACAUAGCAAUGAGUCUAGAAGGAACCGGCCUACUCCAGUACGGCAAGAGCAUGCGGGUUCACAAGAGACCGACAACUACUACUCGCGCCAUAGAACUGAGCACAACCCAACUGAGCGCAGUAGUUCUUCAUCUGAACUGAGCAGAGGAAGAUCGAGGCGUGAACAUGAUGGAAGGGGAUCACGCAAAGACAAGCUUUCUGGACUUAAGCUUAAGAUUCCACCCUUCCAUGGCAAGGUUGAUCCAGAUGCCUAUUUGGAAUGGGAAAAGUGUUGACUUGAAGAGUGAAAUGGAGCCAAAGGAGAAGUAUGGAGGAGUUUGGGUCUGGUGCAAAGAUAGGGACAAGAUCUUAAGAGAUUGUCUAUCAAGGCUUCAUGAGGGUUUAGAGAAGUCUAGAAGAGUCAUGAAGGCUGUACAAAGAUAGUGUUUAAGUCCAGGAGGGACUUAGACACCAUUUGGAGAUAGUUGGGUGAUGGUGCAAAGAUAGGGCGUCCCGAGGUUCAGACGGUACGAACCGACCGUGCAAAGUUAGGGCGACCCAAAACAUGAUCUGGUUCAUCUAUUGAAGAAGCUUGGUGAAGUUGUGCAAAUAUAGGGCGAGGUACGGACAUCAGGUCCGUACCAUCAACCGUAUGGAUGAGCAGGCCGUACCACUUUACCCGGAUUGACCCGAAAUGGAGAUGUGCAAACUUAGGGAGCAAGGAGGACUUAUCUGAGCUUGUGACUGUUGGGAAUGGAUAAGAGAGGAGCUGGGCGUGACCUGUUGCUAGCUGGAAAGUAGCUAGUCAAAAGGUAAAGCACCUUUUGACCAUGGAACACACAAGGCUCCAUCUUAUCCAUCCAUUUCAAACCUGGGCAAUCUGAACCAUCCAAGCUUCUCACCAGAUUCCUUUAGCCAAUCAGAGACCAUCACCAAGAUUGUGAAGACCAGAUCCAAGACUACAUCCUAGCCAUUCAUUCUCAAGUCAUUUUUAGCCAUUAGAUUAAGGGUUUAUGAUUGCAAACUUGUAAAGCCUAUAUAAAGGCUAUGUGUGGACGUUUUUGUAACCCUUAAGUGAGUAAGGGGGUUUCCCUUCUCCUUCUCUAAUCUGAAACACUAAUCUUCAGUCUCUUAUUCUCUUAGUCUCUCAUCCUGAAUCUCUAAACACGUUCUCAGUCUUGUUACUAAUCUCUUAAACACUUAGACACACAAACUCUCAUUAAACUUCCUUUCUCUCAAAUCGCUUCUAAGCUCUUUCUCUUUACCCAUUUGGGUUUCACACACACAUACAACCUGAGUACUCUUAAAUCUCUUAUGGUAUCAGAGCCAGGUUCAUUAGAACUUGGUUCCAGUUUCUGCUAAGCUCAAAGCUCACUCCCAUGCCAUUUCCAAACCUCAUAAAAAGAAGAUCGAGCUUGUCUUCAAUUGCCAACACUACUCCAAUGCCCAACGGAUCAAGAUAGCAGCAACUGAAUUCUAUGAUUAUGCAUUGAGUUGGUGGGAUCAGCUUGUAACUACUAGACGGCUUAACCAAGAGAACCCGGUUGAUUCAUGGCACGAGAUGAAGUCACUCAUGCGCAAACGGUUUGUUCCAAGUCAUUAUCACCGCGAUCUACAUCAAAAGCUACGAAGACUUACCCAAGGAACACGAACUGUUGAAGAGUACUAUCAAGACAUGGAGUUGCUGAUGUUACGCGCUAGUAUCUUGGAGGAUAGAGAAGCUACUAUGGCAAGGUUUCUUGGAGGACUUAACCGUGAGAUACAAGACAAUGUGGAGAUGCAACACUAUGUGGAGAUAGAAGAGAUGUUGCACAAAGCUAUUCUAGUGGAGCAGCAGCUCAAGAGGAAGGGUAACUCACGCAGCUAUGGAUCUUCUAAGUUCCACCACUCUAAGGAGGAGAAAACAUCCUAUCUAAAGGAUAGCAAGCCUCAACAGAAAGAAGAGACUAAGCCGAGCAACACAUACAGCAAAGACAAAGGCAAAGCUGAAAUUACUAGUUCAAGAACCAGAGAUGUUAAGUGUUUCAAAUGUCAAGGGCGUGGGCAUUAUGCUAAUGAGUGCACCAACAAAAAGGUUAUGAUUCUUCUUGAGAAUGGAGAGUAUGAAUCAGAGGAAGAGAAGUUUGGUUCUGAUCAUGAGGAGUCUGAUGAAGAAAGUGAAGUAGAACCCGUGAAGGGAAGAUUGUUGGUGACAAGAAGGCUCUUGAACGUACAAGCUAAGAAUGGAGAGCUUGAGCAGCGAGAGAAUCUAUUCUACACAAGGUGUAUGGUUCAGGGAAAGGUGUGCAGCCUCAUUAUUGAUGGAGGAAGUUGUGUCAAUGUAGCAAGUGAGACAAUGGUGAAGAAAUUGGGUUUGAACAUCCAGAAACACCCAAGACCCUACAGAUUGCAAUGGCUCAAUGAGGAGGGCGAGAUGAGAGUUUCUACUCAAGUACUGGUUCCUAUAGCCAUUGGUAGAUAUGAAGAUGAAGUCUUGUGUGAUGUGUUGCCAAUGGAAGCCAGUCAUAUACUUCUUGGAAGACCCUGGCAGUAUGAUAGACGUGUGAAUCAUGAUGGCUUCACCAACAAGCACUCAUUUGAAUUCAAUGGAAAGAAGACUGUGCUGGUGCCUUUGUCUCCUAAAGAGGUUCAUGAAGAUCAACUCCAGCUUCAGAAAAAGAAAGAGAAAAAGAUUGAUCUCAAACCUGAUCAUAACAAGCAUCACAGCCUCUAUGCCAAACAGGGAGAUAUCAAAAGAAUUCUCUACUCUCAAAAUUCUAUUAUCUUGCUUAUGUUUAAAGAGACUCUUCUAACAGUUACUGAUCACACACCGGAUCAUCCGAGUGAACUAGUUUCUCUUUUACAGGAAUAUGCAGAUGUGUUUCCAGAAGAUAGCCCCAUUGGAUUGCCUCCAGUGCGUGGGAUUGAGCACCAAAUAGACUUUGUACCUGGUUCUACACUGCCCAACCGUCCAGCAUACAGGACCAAUCCAGUUGAAACUAAAGAACUGCAAAAACAAGUAGAGGAGCUGAUGGAGAAGGGUCAUAUCCGAGAGAGUUUGAGUCCUUGUGCAGUUCCAGUGCUCCUUGUGCCAAAGAAAGAUGGGAGCUGGCGCAUGUGUGUUGAUUGUAGAGCAAUCAACAACAUAACAGUGAAGUAUCGCCACCCUAUUCCUAGAUUAGAUGAUAUGCUUGAUGAGUUGCAUGGUUCUUGCAUAUUUUCUAAGAUAGAUUUGAAAAGUGGAUAUCAUCAGAUUAGGAUGAAAGAAGGAGAUGAGUGGAAAACUGCUUUUAAAACUAAACAUGGCUUGUAUGAAUGGUUAGUUAUGCCAUUUGGACUAACCAAUGCGCCUAGUACAUUCAUGAGACUGAUGAAUCAUAUUCUUAGGUCUUUCAUAGGCAUCUUUGUUGUUGUGUACUUUGAUGAUAUAUUAGUUUACAGCAAAUGCUUAGAAGAUCAUAUAGAACAUCUUAGGGCUGUUUUGGAUGUUUUGAGAAAAGAAAAGCUUUAUGCCAAUCUAAAGAAGUGCACUUUUUGCACAGAUAACUUGGUCUUUCUAGGUUUUGUUGUAAGUGCAGAUGGUGUAAAGGUGGAUCAGGAAAAGAUCAAAGCAAUACAAGAGUGGCCGAGUCCAACUACAGUGGGAGAAGUAAGGAGUUUUCAUGGACUGGCAGGUUUCUAUAGGCGUUUUGUGAAGGAUUUCAGCACUCUAGCAGCUCCCCUAACUGAGAUAAUCAAGAAGGAUGUAGGAUUCAAGUGGGGAGAAGUUCAAGAAGCCGCAUUCCAACUCCUUAAAGAGAAGCUUACUCAAUCUCCUCUUCUCAUACUUCCUGAUUUUUCUAAAACAUUUGAAAUAGAAUGUGAUGCCUCAGGAAUUGGAAUUGGUGCUGUUUUGAUGCAGGAUAAGAGACCUAUUGCUUAUUUCAGUGAGAAACUCAGUGGAGCUACUCUCAACUAUGCCACUUAUGACAAGGAACUCUACGCAUUGGUGAGAGCUCUACAGACUUGGCAGCAUUAUCUCUGGCCAAAGGAGUUUGUCAUUCAUACCGACCAUGAAUCUCUCAAGUAUCUCAAAGGACAAAGUAAGCUCAGCAAGAGACAUGCUAGAUGGGUAGAGUUCAUUGAAACCUUUCCUUAUGUGAUCAAAUACAAACAAGGUAAGGAAAAUAUAGUUGCUGAUGCACUAUCCAGAAGGUAUGUCCUCUUAACUACUCUUGAUGCUAAGUUGCUAGGCUUUGAGCAGAUUAAAGACAUGUAUGAAUCUGAUCCUGACUUUCAAGACGCUUAUAAAUCAUGUGCUAAGUAUGCUUCAGGACAUUAUUUUAGGCAUGAUGGAUUCUUAUUCUAUGACAAUCGUUUAUGUGUGCCUAAUUGCUCUUUGAGAGAUCUAUUUGUCAGGGAAUCCCAUGGAGGAAGCUUGAUGGGUCAUUUUGGUAUAGCAAAAACCCUUAAAGUUCUGCAGGAUCACUUCUAUUGGCCGCAUAUGAAAAGAGAUGUGGAGAGAAUCUGUGGAAGGUGCACAACUUGCAAGCUUGCAAAGUCUAAGGUUCAACCUCACGGUUUGUAUACUCCUUUGCCUAUUCCUACUCAUCCUUGGAAUGAUAUAUCUAUGGAUUUUGUUAUGGGUUUGCCUAGAACUAGGACCGGGAAGGAUUCUAUCUUUGUGGUUGUUGAUAGAUUCUCUAAAAUGGCACAUUUCAUAGCUUGCAAUAAGACUGAUGAUGCAUUACAUGUAGCUAAUUUGUUCUUUAAAGAAGUGGUACGUUUGCAUGGAAUGCCUAGGACUAUAGUUUCAGAUAGAGAUACUAAAUUCCUUAGCUACUUUUGGAAAACAUUGUGGUCUAAACUAGGAACUAAGCUAUUGUUUUCUACUACUUGUCAUCCACAAACUGAUGGGCAGACUGAAGUAGUUAAUAGAACCUUAGGUACUCUCCUGCGUGCAUUUAUCAAAAAGAACUUGAAAACAUGGGAAGAUUUCUUGCCUCAUUGUGAAUUUGCAUACAAUCAUGCUAUGCAUUCUGCUUCUAAGUUUUCUCCUUUUGAAAUUGUUUAUGGGUUCAAUCCCAUCUCACCUUUGGAUCUAAUACCUUUACCUGAGUGUGAAAGGGUUAGUAUGGAUGGGAAAAAGAAAGCUGAGAUGGUUCAGUAGAUUCAUGAGCAAGCUAAGCGCAAUCUUGAAGAGAAAACUAAGCAAUACGCCAAACAAGCUAACAAGGGAAGGCGUAAGAUGAUCUUUGAUGUUGGAAAUCAAGUAUGGGUUCACUUGAGGAAAGAGAGGUUUCCAAAGGAGAGGAAGUCUAAGCUAAUGCCGCGGAUUGAUGGCCCUUUUGAAGUCACCAAGAGGAUCAAUGACAAUGCCUACAAACUUGAUCUGCAAGGUAAGUACGAUAUAAGUGAUAGCUUCAAUGUUACUGACUUGAUCCCUUUUGUUGCAGAUGAGCCAGAUUUGAGGACAAAUCCUUUUCAAGAGGGAGGGGAUGAUGUGAUCAUGGACCAACUACCUAAUGAAGAUGAUGAGGAUC
rnacentral:lncRNA from 1 species